rfam:Myotis davidii contig71474, whole genome shotgun sequence.
GGUGGUUCUUGGGUGACGCACCCCAGAAUUGAACUCCCUCCUCAAUGGUUCUGGAUGCAUCACCGGAGAACCACA